GGGGGUGACUGGCUUCGACGGGAAUCAAGAGGUCAACAGAGCGUGUCGAGCUCUCGGAGUCUCGUAAAACCUUCGGGAAAACAUUAGUUGCCAACGAUAAUUUGGCCCUCGCA
rnacentral:tmRNA from 1 species